rnacentral:rRNA from 1 species
GAUGAACGCUGGCGGCGUGCCUAAUACAUGCAAGUCGAGCGAACAGAUAAGGAGCUUGCUCCUUUGACGUUGGCGGCGGACGGGUGAGUAACACGUGGGUAACCUACCUAUAAGACUGGAAUAACUCCGGGAAACCGGGGCUAAUGCCGGAUAACAUUUAGAACCGCACGGUUCUAAAGUGAAAGAUGGUUUUGCUAUCACUUAUAGAUGGACCCGCGCCGUAUUAGCUAGUUGGUAAGGUAACGGCUUACCAAGGCAACGAUACGUAGCCGACCUGAGAGGGUGAUCGGCCACACUGGAACUGAGACACGGUCCAGACUCCUACGGGAGGCAGCAGUAGGGAAUCUUCCGCAAUGGGCGAAAGCCUGACGGAGCAACGCCGCGUGAGUGAUGAAGGUCUUCGGAUCGUAAAACUCUGUUAUUAGGGAAGAACAAAUGUGUAAGUAACUGUGCACGUCUUGACGGUACCUAAUCAGAAAGCCACGGCUAACUACGUG